AAAGAAAACCUAUUCAGAACUUUAAUUUGAAAUCAGUUGAAUCAAAGCCUGUUUUCCAAAAAAAACCACUCUAAGCUUCCCUUUUCAAAUCAAUUUAAAGAAACAGACUCAAUCUCGAUCAAUUUUGCCCUAUGAUUUAGAUUCCCUUAUUGAUCUAAACCCAUUGAUUUUGUGUUAUCUCUACGACCAGGGGCAAUCGAAAGGUUCAAUUUCUUCUCCUUCUUAUUUCGAACGUAGCUCUGGUGACAUAUUAAAACUAUCUAACCUUAAUUAUGGAUCUUGUUGACAUUGAUGUCUUCUGCGAUGCGAAGAAGGUUAUUGAUGCUCUUCAAAGCAAGGACAUAGCUCUGGAUUUAGCUUGGUGUGCAGAGAACAAAUCCAGGUUGAAGAAAUCAAAGAAUAAACACAACUUAACUGAAAUUAUCCAGAUGUGUCACCAAACAAGGGCGCGCCAACUUCCUAUCCUAUGUGAUUAUUGAAUGGCAGAUUUGCAAUUGACACUGAACUUCGCACUAAUUAUUGAAUGUUCUAGAUUCUAAACCUGCCAUUGGUCCAAAACCAUCUAUUUGGUAAUAUUAAGAGUUUUCGACAUCAAUCCUGGUGCAAUAUUUGAUAUGAGUUUGAAGUUUUACAAGUCCGAAGAUAACUAAUGUUUAGAUGUACUUGGUACGAAUAUUGACAAUUCGUCAUGCUACUGGGUGUCUCUUGUUUGAUCUAUCUUGAUGCCAAGUUCAUCAAUACAUGAAAAUCAGGUCGUCAUAUUUUGUCACUAUGGACAUGCAGUAGCUAAUCCUGAUGAAGUUGCUUCCCAAACAGCUAUGUAAGUAUUCGUUUUCUCUAAAUAUCUCAGUUACCGUAACAAACAUAUUGGCCUAGAAGAUUAGUCUAUU